rnacentral:lncRNA from 1 species
GUGCUCUUGUCCAAAAUCAACUCGCUUGCCCACUUGCGCCCCGCGCCCCGCAAUGACCUGCACUCCACCAAGCUGGCUCCGGGCAAGAAGAAGGAGCCCCUGGAGUCGCAGUACCAGGUGGGCCCGCUCCUGGGCAGCGGCGGCUUCGGCUCGGUGUACUCAGGCAUCCGUGUCACUGACAACUUGCCGGUGGCCAUCAAACACGUGGAGAAGGACCGGAUUUCCCACUGGGGAGAGCUGCCUGAUGGCACCCGAGUGCCCAUGAAAGUGGUUCUGCUGAAGAAGGUGAGCUUGGGCUUCUCUGGCGCCCAUUAGGCUCCUAGAUUGGUUUGAGAGGCCCGACAGCUUCGUCCUGAUCCUGGAGAGGCCGGAACCGUUGCAAGACCUCUUUGACUUUAUCACGGAAAAGGGGGGCGGGGCGGGGGGGCUGCAGGAGGAGCUGGCCUGCAGCUUCUUCUGGCAGGUGCUGGAGGCGGUGGGGCCCAGCCACGACUGCAGGGUGCUUCACCGCGACAUCAGGGGCGAGAACGUCCUUACCAACCUCAAACGCGGCGAGCUCAAGCUCAUCGACUUCGGGUCGGGGGCGCUGCUCAAGGACACCCUCUACACGGACUUCGAUGGG